UGUAAUAACAUGUAAUAAAACCUUUGGUAAUGGCUAGUGAAAAAUAAGGAGUAAUCAUGCAUGUAAAAAUGGAUAGAUAUCCUGUUCAUAGGGAAUUUUUGAUUUCUGCAUAACACAUAGAUAUCUAUUCUUAAGGAAUUUCUAAUUUCUGAUUUCUGCAUAACACAUAGAUAUCCUGUUGAUAGGGAAUUUCUAAUUUCUG
rnacentral:lncRNA from 1 species